rnacentral:rRNA from 1 species
GACGAAUGCUGGCGGCGUGCUUAAUACAUGCAAGUCGAACGGUGAAGCGCCUUCCUUUUUGGUGGGUGUGGAUGAGUGGCGAACGGGUGAGUAACACGUGGGUAACCUGCCCCCUUCUUCUGGAUAACCGCAUGAAAGUGUGGCUAAUACGGGAUAUUCUGGGUCUGUCGCAUGAUGGGUCUGGGAAAGAUAUUGUUUCGGUGGGGGAUGGGCUCGCGGCCUAUCAGCUUGUUGGUGGGGUGAUGGCCUACCAAGGCGGUGACGGGUAGCCGGCCUGAGAGGGUGGACGGUCACACUGGGACUGAGACACGGCCCAGACUCCUACGGGAGGCAGCAGUGGGGAAUAUUGCACAAUGGGCGCAAGCCUGAUGCAGCGACGCCGCGUGAGGGAUGGAGGCCUUCGGGUUGUGAACCUCUUUCGCCAGUGAAGCAGGCCUGCCUCGUUUGUGGGUGGGUUGACGGUAGCUGGAUAAGAAGCGCCGGCUAACUACGUG